AAUAAAGACCUAAGAAAUUUCACUGAUAAUCC
rnacentral:piRNA from 1 species